GCCCCUCUUUGGCAGACUGAAUGGAUGCUGCCAUACCAUCACACUGGAAAUGAGGAAUAUAACACCAUGAGGAUGAAUGGUUGUUUCACACACUGAUAUUUCAUGAUUCUGAAGAAGAAUUGGAGGUGAGACUUGAGAAAAUGGAGAAAAAGGAGACCAGAGAUGCAUGAACUGCAGACAAGCACAAGGAGACAUUUGAGGCUGUUUCAGGUAUUUACGUAUAUGUCUACUGUCCGGACGUCUGAAGCUUGAGACACUCGUCAACAUAAACUGAAAAGUUAGCUACCAUGCUGUGAGAGAGCUCAAGAUAGCCAUGUCAGUGGCCCAUGUGAAGACAGAAAAGAAGGAGAGACAAACAGAGGGAAAGACAGAGUGAGAGAAAGAAAGAGAGAGUUAGCCUCUACAUAUUAUAAGCACCUAAAACUGUUCGUCGUUACAUGAGUAAAGUGUGAAUAAUUUAAGCUACAAGCCCAGUUGAAUAUCCAGAUGACUCCAACUCCUAUCACCUCUAAUUGAACUGUAUAAAGAGCUCCCAAUUGGCCAACUGUGCUGUUCAAAUCAUAUAACUGUGAAAGCUAAUCUUAAAUUGUUUUAGCAUUGUGUUUUGUUUUGGGCAAUGGGGGUGUUUAUGCAGCAAUUGAUAACUAAGAUAGGAUUUCUUACCAGGGAUAUGAAGUAUGUCCAUUACAAAAACCUCAAAUACAUGGCACUGUCUUUGGGAUGAAAUGGUGAUCUUCAAACCAUAAAAUACCAACAAGAGAUUAGUUAAAGGCUAACGGACAGAGAGAAAAUUGUUAUUAGAGACUGAAUAAAAACAGACAUAUGUUAAAUGGUGACAAAAAAGUUUGGCAAAACUCUGGAAAAUAGAAAUAAACCUAAUUUACUAGUGAAAUUGGCUAAAGAGAUUGCCACUCGGAGUGUUUAAUGUGCCAAUGCAUUUAUUUUAGCUGUAUUUAAUAAAGCAUGUCCAGAGAGACAUGAACUAAAGAAGGAGCUGUUCGGUUUCAAGCCAGAUAUAGAGAAAAUAUUUCUGAAACAGAACCUACUGGAUUCAAAAUGAACUGCCCUAUAAUUGCAUAUUUCUCACCCCUAGAAAAACUCUCAGAUAAGAAAUAACUUCAGCCAGCGAGACUCUUUGUUAAUACAUCAAAAUAUUUAUGGCAGUGCAUAGCCAAUCUGUUCAGUGAGACUAAAAGAUUUCUAAGAAUUAUAAGGGCAUUGCCCAACGUGCUCUGAUUCUCAACCCAAGGCAGAGAGAGCCCUGUCUCAAAACAGAUUUCUGAGUGUGGCUUCUGUCCAAGCACGUGAAUUAACAUGUAACACAGAAGAGAAGAAAGAAAUGUUAAGGAAAUUAUACCAGCUUGGUCUGUAAGUGACAAAGAUAGCUCAAAAUGAAAGGAGGGCAUUUAGGUUCCAGAACUUCUACAACAAUAAAAUAGAAUAAGAAAGCUACUCAGCAUCAAAUAUGGUCACUUUUUUUACAGAAAAGAAAGAAUGAAUCAGAAGGUAGAGGCAA